rnacentral:lncRNA from 1 species
ACUAUAUACACAUGAAAGGGUCAUGAUUAGUCAGGUUGCAUGUUUUGAUCAAAAGGAGUCGAAACUAUGCUCUUGUGUUCUUUCAUUCUGUAAUUUUACUAUAAAAUCGACGUAAACGCAGCACUACAGUGGCUCACUUAAAAAGAAACCUCUCAGAAUGGAUAUCAAGCAUCUAGUUCAUUUUGAUAACAUUUUACAUUAUCUGAUGGAAAGCCAUAGCAGCGUUUUGAAUAAAAUUGGCAUGUGACUCAUGCGGAGGAUGUAUCAAUUUAGAGGAGAUGUGUGGUGUGCUUGUGCUUCUCAAACCACAACCUACAAAAUGUCAUACAAGACUGCGUUCCUGCUGCACUAACCCACUCACACUCACACACACACACACACACACACACACAUAAAAUAUGUAAAUAAUAAUAAAUAGAGCAAAUAUAAGUUGACAUGUUUGAUGAAUAAACUUUUGUUAUUUUAAAAAUGUUGAUUUAAAUCGUAUGUUCAUGUGACUGUUUUUUGUUUAGUAAAUUCUGUGUUGAUGUUCUUGUUAGCAUGACCCUGUUUAAACAGGAAGCAGCUAUGACACAAAGCAGUACGUAACACACACUCUCAUUUUGUCAAGUGUUAAAACAUUCAGAGUGUCUGUCAUGUUUGAAUCUGAUUUUGUCUGUAUGGGAUGAAAUUAAACACUUUCCACCUCCUGCUGUGUCAACAACAAGAUGGAUCAAAACAUGGCUGAUAUUCUGAACGAUGCAUUCAAAGAAACCGAGGCAAACUUUGAGCAUCUGAACUUUGAUGAUGACACAGCAACCGCACACAGCAUUAAUGUACUUCAAAAUAAGCCAGACAUGGAGGAGGACUCUGAUUCUGACUUAGAUUUAGAGUGGACGAAUAGGGAAGAGGAAACUGAGCACUGUUUUGAGAACAAUAGGAACUUCUCUUUAGAUGAACAAAGCUCGAAGGCAGGAUCUACGCUUUGUGGUUCACGGGAUGACAACGACGCAGUCGAAAAGAAGACACAAACCCAAAACCAGCAAUUAAGCUUGCAUGAAGAGGAUUGCAGAGAGAAUGAAUUUGAGAUACAUGAAGAUAUCCAUCAAAUGAACAAGGAACAAGCUGAAGAUGUCAAUGUGCUGGAAAUGGUUCUCCCAAAAGGAACUCAAUAUGGUCUGGAUACAAUGAGCACAUGGACUCAGGAGGAGACCACAUCUCGUCUCCUGGCCUCCCAGAUGGUGGAUAAAACCGAAAAUGAGUGCUCAACAUUAAAAGAGGAAAGAAUGGAGCCUGACAGCACUGAGGGAUGUGUCCUUCAGCAUGCACCAGAUGAUAAGCAGCUCAAUCAUUUAAGUGCCAUACAGUCAACAUUGCAAGACAACAGUGCAUCAGCGGAGGUUGAGUCUAUGGAUGAGAUAAAAGAGUUUACAGAAGAAGAUCAUGAGGACCAUGAGAGAGACGAGGAAGGUUUAGCAGAGUAUCCCUCUGAUCUGUCUCAAACUGACAGUGGGGACAGCAGUGAAGGACAACCCGAUCAAAUGGACACCAAGCAAGCUGAGGUGCAGGCUGUAGGCCCAGAAGAACAUCUCCAGCCGUACAGUGUUGUAACUUCAAGGAAAGAUGACGAUGAUGUCCAAAAGAAAGCUGAAUUUAUGGAUCCUGCAGACAUGCUCACUCGUGUCAAGAAUGAGGAUCUGUAUGUGGAGACAACAACUGGGAAAUCCGAUGAUGACAUCUUGUUCCAGUCAGAUGUUGAAUAUCAUCGCGAGAUUUCAAACAUUGGGGAAAGUUCUGAUUAUGGAAUCUCUGAGAAUUUCAAAUUCAAUUCCAAUGAAUCCUACAUGAAUGAGCAGCCGGACUAUGACAGUGAUUUCAGCAGUGAUGGGGACGACUACUGCAAAAACCAAGAAGAUACACCCGAUUUCAUUUCACAUACUGACACAGAGGACAAAAACACACACACCUUCACGAAGGACUUUGCUACAGACUGGCACAGUGUUGAGCACGAAGGAGUAGAUGGGGUGGUCAAAGAUAGCUUCAAACCAGAGAUGUGUGAUGUAGAAGGUUUAUCAAGCAUUCCAGCAUCUCGUGGAACUGUAGUGGAAGAGUCUUCUGAGACUGAUUCACCUGAAAACAUAAGUGUUGCUGAGUCACAUCCAUCAGUGGAAACAGACCAGGACAACAGAGAACAUAACAGUGAACAUUCAGAACUUUCAGAAACUGGAGAUACAAAUAUCAACACUCUGUUACCCGGGAUGUUUUGGUCCCAGGACAUUCUGAAGCUCGAUGAAUAUGACUGGGAGAUUAAUAGAGGAGAGGUGAUCUGUGAUGAGGAGGACAAUUACCUGGAAGAGCUGGAGAAUGAUGAGGAAGACACCGAGAGGGACUGGGAGAAAGAAAAGGCAAGAAUUGAAGCAUUUAACAGAUACUACGAGUCUGUCGAAGACGAGGAAACCAAGGGGAGGAGCCACAAAGUGACAUUUUGUUUGGAGCCAGAAUCCUCUCAGUAUGAGGAGGAUAGUUACAGCAGUGAAGAGGAACCGAGCACAGUAAGUUGCAUCAGUGAGUUGCAUCCUCCAGAGUCCAGUUCAAUCAAACGAGACCAAAGCAACGAGGAAGACAGCCGUGAACCCUCACACAUCAUAGACAAUAUCAGCGCCCUUCUGAUGGAUGAGGACAACAUGAAACUUGAGGAUUAUGACUGUGAUAUUAAUGAAGAAGUUCAAGUGAACUCAGGUACAAUGAUCGGUGAUGAUGAUAACGAUUUCCUGGAGAAGCUGAAAAGUGAAAUAGAGAGGGAAAUGAAGCAGGAACAAGCGAGAACUGAUGCAUCUAACAGAUAUUAUGAAGAGGAACAAAAUGAGGCCCCAGACAGGACCCACAAAGAAAUGUUAAGAUUUCGCCAACAAUCUUCUCAAAACGAGGAAGAUAAUGAUAGCAGUGAACAGGAAUCAAACACUGAAGAUGACACUGUCAGCAUCCUGAAGACUGAGGAGCAAAGUGAUUCUGAUGAACCAACCGAGAGACGCUUGUACACAGGAAGGUACAAAGUCUUAUCAAAGGGGUUACAGAAGGCAGACAAGCAGCUGAAGGAACAACCCAAGAGAAAUAAGUGUCUUGCCCUGCUGCGUUCAGUGCUAGCAGUGGGUCUAGUGACGACGGUGGGUGUGCUGUCUUACUGGUGGGCCUCAGAAAACCUGGACUGGAUCUACUGA